UACAGAGGUCCCAAGCGUUGUUCGGAUUCAUUGGGCGUAAAGGGUGCGUAGGCGGCGCGGUAAGUCGGGUGUGAAAUCUCGGAGCUUAACUCCGAAACUGCAUUCGAUACUGCCGUGCUUGAGGACUGGAGAGGAGACUGGAAUUUACGGUGUAGCGGUGAAAUACGUAGAUAUCGUAAGGAAGACCAGUGGCGAAGGCGGGUCUCUGGACAGUUCCUGACGCUGAGGAGCGAAAGCGUGGGGAGCGAACAGG
rnacentral:rRNA from 1 species